GACGAACGCUGGCGGCGUGCUUAACACAUGCAAGUCGAACGGUAAGGCCCUUCGGGGUACACGAGUGGCGAACGGGUGAGUAACACGUGGGUGAUCUGCCCUGCACUUCGGGAUAAGACUGGGAAACUGGGUCUAAUACCGGAUAGGACCCUGGGAUGCAUGUCCUGGGGUGGAAAGCUUUUGCGGUGUGGGAUGGGCCCGCGGCCUAUCAGCUUGUUGGUGGGGUGAUGGCCUACCAAGGCGACGACGGGUAGCCGGCCUGAGAGGGUGACCGGCCACACUGGGACUGAGAUACGGCCCAGACUCCUACGGGAGGCAGCAGUGGGGAAUAUUGCACAAUGGGCGCAAGCCUGAUGCAGCGACGCCGCGUGAGGGAUGACGGCCUUCGGGUUGUAAACCUCUUUCAGCACCGACGAAGCGCAAGUGACGGUAGGUGCAGAAGAAGGACCGGCCAACUACGUGCCAGCAGCCGCCGUAAAAC
rnacentral:rRNA from 1 species